rnacentral:rRNA from 1 species
CCCUUAGAUGUUCUGGGCCGCACGCGCGCUACACUGAUGCAUUCAACGAGUCUAAAACCUGGUCUGAUAGGGCUGGGUAAUCUUUUGAAUGUGCAUCGUGAUUGGGAUAGAUGAUUGCAAUUUUUCAUCUUCAACGAGGAAUGCCUAGUAAACGCAAGUCAUCAGCUUGCAUUGAUUACGUCCCUGCCCUUUGUACACACCGCCCGUCGCUCCUACCGAUUGAAUGAUCCGAUGAAUAUCAUGGAUUGAGGAUGCAAGCAGGUUCGCCUGUCUUCAUCUUCGAGAAGUGAAGUAAAUCUUAUCAUUUAGAGGAAGGAGAAGUCGUAACA